rnacentral:rRNA from 1 species
AGUGAACGCUGGCGGUAGGCCUAACACAUGCAAGUCGAACGGCAGCACAGUAAGAGGUUGCUCUUACGGGUGGCGAGUGGCGGACGGGUGAGGAAUACAUCGGAAUCUACUUUUUCGUGGGGGAUAACGUAGGGAAACUUACGCUAAUACCGCAUACGACCUACGGGUGAAAGCAGGGGAUCUUCGGACCUUGCGCGAUUGAAUGAGCCGAUGUCGGAUUAGCUAGUUGGCGGGGUAAAGGCCCACCAAGGCGACGAUCCGUAGCUGGUCUGAGAGGAUGAUCAGCCACACUGGAACUGAGACACGGUCCAGACUCCUACGGGAGGCAGCAGUGGGGAAUAUUGGACAAUGGGCGCAAGCCUGAUCCAGCCAUACCGCGUGGGUGAAGAAGGCCUUCGGGUUGUAAAGCCCUUUUGUUGGGAAAGAAAAGCAGCAGGUUAAUACCCCGCUGUUCUGACGGUACCCAAAGAAUAAGCACCGGCUAACUUCGU